UUCCGGUUGAUCCUGCCGGAGGUCACUGCUAUUGGAGUUCGAUUAAGCCAUGCGAGUCAAGAGUUCUUCGUGAACUCGGCGGACUGCUCAGUAACACGUGGGUAAUCUACCCUAAGGUCAGGGAUAAUCCCGGGAAACUGGGGAUAAUACCUGAUAGGUGAAGAUGUCUGGAACGAUACUUCGCCCAAAGCUCCGGCGCCUUAGGAUGAGCCUGCGCCCGAUUAGGUUGUUGGUGGUGUAAAGGACCACCAAGCCCGUGAUCGGUACGGGUGUUGAGAGACAUAGCCCGGAGAUGGGGGCUGAGACACGGCCCCAGGCCCUACGGGGCGCAGCAGGCGCGAAAACUACGCAAUGCGCGAAAGCGUGACGUGGGAACUCCAAGUGCCCUGCCUUCGGGUAGGGCUUUUGUUCAGUGUAAGUAGCUAAACGAAUAAGUGCUGGGUAAGACCGGUGCCAGCCGCCGCGGUAACACCGGCAGCGCAAGUGGUGACCGCUUUUAUUGGGCCUAAAGCGUCCGUAGCCGGUUUGGUAAGUCUUUGGGUAAAUCCUCAAGCUUAACUUGAGGAAUUCCGAAGAUACUGCCAGACUUGGAGUUGAGAGAAGUCAGAGGUACCUCUGGGGUAGGGGUGAAAUCCUAUAAUCCUGGGGGGACCACCAGUGGCGAAGGCGUCUGACUAGAGCAAGCUCGACGGUAAGGGACGAAAGCCAGGGGCGCGAACGGGAUUAGAUACCCCGGUAGUCCUGGCCGUAAACGCUGCGCGCUAGGUGUUACGUCCUCUACGAGGGGACGUAGUGCCGAAGAGAAGUUGAUAAGCGUGCCGCCUGGGAAGUAUUACCGCAAGGUAGAAACUUAAAGGAAUUGGCGGGGGAGCACCACAAGGGGUGGAGUCUGCGGUUCAAUUGGAAUCAACGCCGGUA
rnacentral:rRNA from 1 species